UAUUUCAAGUUGCAGCUCUUCAACCAUCGCCCACCAUCGCCAAACACAUUCGAAAACCUAGCUAGCCGAACGUCACCGCCGAACACAGUCCACCGCCUUCGCCGUCGACCAGAGUGGCCACUAUCGUCGACCCAGUCGUCGCCCAGUUCGCUGACCGCCUUCGCCCACUGUCUCCUCCUUCGCCGCCGUCUCCUCUGCUUUCUCCGUUCAUGCAUCCUCGCCGCCUAGCUUCGCAUUCGUCGUCCCAGCCGCCGUCGCAUCCCAGCUGCAUCGCAUCGCCUAGGUCUUAGCCGUCGCUCGUCGCCUGUCGUCGUAGCCCUCAAUCGUUGUUCGUCGCCAUUGCCGCCCUAUCGCAGCUACUUCAUACGUCGCCGUCUCUAAUAUAGUCCUUACUAACAGGUUUCUCAUAUCCCUUAAAUGGUGUUUGUGAAGAGAUUUUUGAGCAAGAUUUUGUUUGUUAUACAAGGGGACAGGUACAAACAUUCUGAGUAAAAAAAUUACACUAUCCAUGCUUACACACUUGUGAUAUUUGAUUCUGCUUAUAUGAUCUUACCUUCACCCUUGCAGUUCUCCUUUAAUGACUUAUUUGAUGUUUUACAUAAUUUUAUAUAUUUAAUGUUAGAUACUUAGAUAGUUAGAUGUUAGUAUAAAGAGGGAUUUUUGUUGCAUUGUUAUUAGGGUGAUGCCCUUUAUAGAAAAUAUGCAAAUAGAUAUUCAUCUCUGUUUUUUAGAAUCCCCAACUCCUUGAGGUUGAGUCUUGGAGGAUAUUUUCUGUUCCUAUAAGAUUGAAGCAUCUUUAAUCUGUCUCAUUGGAAGGAAAUAUGUACUAGGAAUUUGUAAGCUUGCUGCUUUGCAUUUCUUUUUGUUCUUUAUCCAUUUAUUUAUUUAUGAUGAGUCUCUUAGUUUUAUUCAUUUUGACAAGUGAAUGCACUAAGUAUGCUUGAUUUUGUUCUUGUAUGAUAUUGUAGCAUAUGGCGGAAUUGGAAUUGAUGUUGACAAGUGAGUCAACAUUGUAAACUAGAUUGGUCUUCAUACUCUGUUUAUUUUCUCUUUUACUUCAGUCACUUGUUUUGAUUGUUGGCAUGUGAUUCCUAAGAUAUCUAUUUGACUUUCAGGUUUGACUACAUUGUUUGUGAGAGCCGAGCUUGUGGACUGUUGUUUGUGAAGACAAUAUUAUAUAUAUUGUUGUUUAGAUUUGGAUAGAUUUGUAUUGACUAUUAUUACUUACUAAAUUUGGAUUGAAAAUGUAUUUUGUUACUUGAACUUAAUGUAGAUUGAUGAUGUUUUAGAAUUAUUUUAUAUUUUAGAAUUAA